rnacentral:rRNA from 1 species
AGGAAUAUUGGUCAAUGGGCGCGAGCCUGAACCAGCCAAGUCGCGUGAGGGAAGACGGCCCUACGGGUUGUAAACCUCUUUUGCCGGGGAGCAACGGGCGUCACGUGUGGCGCCACUGAGAGUACCCGGAGAAAAAGCAUCGGCUAACUCCGUGCCAGCAGCCGCGGUAAUACGGAGGAUGCGAGCGUUAUCCGGAUUUAUUGGGUUUAAAGGGUGCGUAGGCGGAUCGUUAAGUCAGUGGUCAAAUUGAGGGGCUCAACCCCUUCCCGCCAUUGAAACUGGCGCUCUUGAGUGGAAGAGAAGUAUGCGGAAUGCGUGGUGUAGCGGUGAAAUGCAUAGAUAUCACGCAGAACCCCGAUUGCGAAGGCAGCAUGCCGGCUUCCUACUGACGCUGAAGCACGAAAGCGUGGGGAUCGAACG